rnacentral:rRNA from 1 species
UACAGAGGGGGCAAGCGUUGUCCGGAAUUAUUGGGCGUAAAGAGCUCGUAGGCGGCUUGGCACGUCGGGUGUGAAAGCCCGGGGCUUAACUCCGGUUCUGCAUUCGAUACGGGCUAGCUAGAGUGUGGUAGGGGAGAUCGGAAUUCCUGGUGUAGCGGUGAAAUGCGCAGAUAUCAGGAGGAACACCGGUGGCGAAGGCGGAUCUCUGGGCCAUUACUGACGCUGAGGAGCGAAAGCGUGGGGAGCGAACAGG